rnacentral:rRNA from 1 species
CCUACGGGAGGCAGCAGUGGGGAAUAUUGGACAAUGGGCGAAAGCCUGAUCCAGCCAUGCCGCGUGUGUGAAGAAGGCCUUCGGGUUGUAAAGCACUUUCAGUGGGGAAGAAAGCCUUGGGGCUAAUACCCUCGAGGAAGGACAUCACCCACAGAAGAAGCACCGGCUAACUCCGUGCCAGCAGCCGCGGUAAUACGGAGGGUGCGAGCGUUAAUCGGAAUUACUGGGCGUAAAGCGCGCGUAGGCGGUCUGAUAAGCCGGUUGUGAAAGCCCCGGGCUCAACCUGGGAACGGCAUCCGGAACUGUCAGGCUAGAGUGCAAGAGAGGAAGGUAGAAUUCCCGGUGUAGCGGUGAAAUGCGUAGAGAUCGGGAGGAAUACCAGUGGCGAAGGCGGCCUUCUGGACUGACACUGACGCUGAGGUGCGAAAGCGUGGGUAGCAAACAGGAUUAGAUACCCUGGUAGUC